rnacentral:lncRNA from 1 species
GGGUUUAGUUUUUAGGGUUUAGGGUUCAGUUCAGUUUCAGUUUCAGUUCAGUUCAAUUUCAGUUUCAGUUUCAGUUCAGUUGUGAAUUCACAACUAGGGUUUAGGUUUAGGGUUUAGUGUUUCAGUUCAGUUCAGUUGUGAAUUCACAAUCGUAACAAUUCACAACUAGGGUUUAGGGUUUAGAUUGGGUUUAGGGUUUAGGGUUUAGGUUUUAGGGUUUAUGGUUCAGUUUCAGUUCAGUUGUGAAUUCACAACUAGGAUUUAGGUUUAUGGUUUAGUGUUUCAGUUCAGUUCAGUUGUGAAUUCACAAUUGUAACAAUUUACCACUAGGGUUUAGGUUUAGGGUUUAGAUUGGGUUUAGGGUUUAGGUUUUAGAGUUUAGGGUUUAGUUUUUAGGGUUUAAGGUUCAGUUCAGUUCAGUUUCAGUUUAGUUGUGAAUUCACAACUAGGGUUUAGGUUUAGGGUUUAGGGUUU